rnacentral:rRNA from 1 species
CAAGGAUUCCCCUAGUAACGGCGAGUGAAGCGGGAUGAGCUCAAAUUUGUAAUCUGGCGNUCUCUGGCCGUNCGAGUUGUAGUCUGGAGAAGCGUUUUCCGCGUCGGACCGUGUACAAGUCCCUUGGAACAGGGCGUCGUAGAGGGUGAGAAUCCCGUCUUUGACACGGACUGCCGAUGCUUUGCGAUGCGCUCUCGAAGAGUCGAGUUGUUUGGGAAUGCAGCUCAAAACGGGUGGUAAAUUCCAUCUAAAGCUAAAUAUGGGCGAAAGACCGAUAGCGAACAAGUACCGUGAGGGAAAGAUGAAAAGCACUUUGGAAAGAGAGUUAAACAGUACGUGAAAUUGUUGAAAGGGAAACGCUUGAAGUCAGUCGCGUCUCCCGGGACUCAGCCUUGCUUCCGCUCGGUGUAUUUCCUGGGGCGACGGGCCAGCAUCGAUUUCGACCGUCGGAGAAGGGCCUUGGGAACGUGGCACCCUUUGGGUGUGUUAUAGCCCUCGGUCGUAUGCGACGGUCGGGAUCGAGGACCGCAGCACGCCUUUCUGGCCGGGGUUCGCCCACGUACGUGCUUAGGAUGCUGGCGUAAUGGCUUUAAGCGACC